rnacentral:rRNA from 1 species
GUGGGGAAUCUUGGACAAUGGGGGCAACCCUGAUCCAGCCAUGCCGCGUGUGUGAAGAAGGCCUUCGGGUUGUAAAGCACUUUCAGCAGGGAGGAAGGCUUUGGGCUAAUACCCUGGAGUACUUGACGUUACCUGCAGAAGAAGCACCGGCUAAUUUCGUGCCAGCAGCCGCGGUAAUACGAAAGGUGCGAGCGUUAAUCGGAAUUACUGGGCGUAAAGCGCGCGUAGGUGGUGUGUUAAGUCGGAUGUGAAAGCCCUGGGCUCAACCUGGGAACUGCAUCCGAUACUGGCACGCUAGAGUGCAGUAGAGGGAGGUGGAAUUUCCGGUGUAGCGGUGAAAUGCGUAGAGAUCGGAAGGAACACCAGUGGCGAAGGCGGCCUCCUGGACUGACACUGACACUGAGGUGCGAAAGCGUGGGGAGCAAACAGGA